GGGAUCAAAAGAAUCCACAUCAAAAUGAAAGAUGAAGCGUUGAAUCUGAAUUCACAGCUGCUUUAUGCAAUCUAGAAAGAGGUCAAGCUGGAGUGCAUGGCUCACUGCAACCUCUGCCUCCUGGGCUCAAGGCAUCCUUCCACCUCAGCCUCCCAAGUAAUUGGGACUACAGGAGAGAAAACAAUGCGGUCAUCUAGAAUGACGGAUUGUCAUCACGGGGGCAUGGGAGAGGGGUUGAGCAAGUCAAUGGAUGUUUUCUAGAGCCUAGAGAAUGGGUCUGAUACUCUGAAGUAUAUUUUUUCUAAAUCCCAGAUUCCAGCAUUAAGCACUGUGCAGUUUUGAGAGAAGAAGUUAUAAAGCAAAACUGAGUUG